AUUGAACGCUGGCGGCAGGCCUAACACAUGCAAGUCGAACGAGUGGCGGACGGGUGAGUAAUGUGUGGGAAACUGCCCGAUGGAGGGGGGUAAAUACUGGAAACGGGAGCUAAUACCGCAUACCAUCGGAGGUGACCAGAUGGGAUUAGCUAGUUGGUGGGGUAACGGCUCACCUAGGCGACGAUCCCUAGCUGGCCUGAGAGGCUGACCAGCCACACUGGAACUGAGACACGGUCCAGACUCCUACGGGAGGCAGCAGUGGGGAAUAUUGCACAAUGGGCGCAAGCCUGAUGCAGCCAUGCCGCGUGUAUGAAGAAGGCCUUCGGGUUGUAAAGUACUUUCAGCGAGGAGGCGUUACUCGCAGAAGAAGCACCGGCUAACUCCGUGCCAGCAGCCGCGGUAAUAC
rnacentral:rRNA from 1 species